rnacentral:pre_miRNA from 1 species
AUACAAAUCACCUGUGGGUCUUGUUAAAAUGCAGAUUCAGUUUUAGUCAUUUUAGGAUGAGGCCUGAGAUUCUGUGCUUCUAACAAGCUCCCAGGUGAUGGUGAU